AUUGAACGCUGGCGGCAGGCCUAACACAUGCAAGUCGAGCGGAGCGGCGGACGGGUGAGUAAUGCCUAGGAAUCUGCCUGGUCGUGGGGGAUAACGUCCGGUAACGGGCGCUAAUACCGCAUCCUCUCGGAUUAGCCUAGGUCGGAUUAGCUAGUUGGUGGGGUAAAGGCCUACCAAGGCGACGAUCCGUAACUGGUCUGAGAGGAUGAUCAGUCAAACUGGAACUGAGACACGGUCCAGACUCCUACGGGAGGCAGCAGGGGGGAAUAUUGGACAAUGGGCGAAAGCCUGAUGCAGCCAUGCCGCGUGUAUGAAGAAGGCCUUCGGGUUGUAAAGUACUUUCAGUCGGGAGGCGUUACCGGCAGAAGAAGCACCGGCUAACUCCGUGCCAGCAGCCGCGGUAAUAC
rnacentral:rRNA from 1 species